CAGAGGAAAGGCACCAGCUACAGACAAGAGACACCUUGGAAUGGAAACAGAUUUUGGGAAGAAUGGGAUGCAACACAGACAAAUUGAUAGUUGUGCCUAAAGUCCUGCAAGGAAAUACAGCACAGCAAAAUACAGAAUGAACUACUGCUGCACACGAUAAUGCGGAGAAAUCUCACAGACCUAACAUCGAGCAAACAACACCAAAGACUAUGUAUCGUACGCCUCUAUUUAUGUGAAGCUCAAAAACAAGCUAAAAUCUUCAGUGAUAGAAAUCAGAAGAGCAGUCACUUCUUGGAGGUGAAGACUGACAAGCAGCUUUCCGGGCUACUAAAAAUGUCCUGUAUCUUGAUCUGAGUGGGUGAUUACAUAGGUCAAUAUAGAUAUUUAUACAUAUAUUUGUAAAGCUGUGCAUUUAAGAGUUGUGCCUUAUGCUAUAUGUAAAUUAUACCUUUAUUUAAAAAAAAACAGAGAAAUGAGUGACAAACCACCUUCAGAAAAGAGAGAUAAGAAAAGAAAUAGAAAACAAGAAGAGAGCUGAGAUUAGAUCACAUGGCUCCCCCUUUUUUUUUUUUUUUUUUUUUGAGAUGGAAUCUCACUCACUCUGUCCCUCAGGCUGGAGUACAGUGGCACAAUCUCAGCUCAAUGCAACCUCCACCUCCUGGGUUCAAGUCAUUCUCCUG
rnacentral:lncRNA from 10 species